rnacentral:rRNA from 1 species
UAGUCCACGCCGUAAACGAUGAGUGCUAGCUGUUGGGGUCUUAGACUUCAGUGGCGACGCUAACGCAUUAAGCACUCCGCCUGGGGAGUACGGUCGCAAGAUUAAAACUCAAAGGAAUUGACGGGGACCCGCACAAGCGGUGGAGCAUGUGGUUUAAUUCGAGGCAACGCGAAGAACCUUACCAGACCUUGACAUGCCUCUCGCGGAAAACAGAGAUGUUUUCCUUCAGUUCGGCUGGAGAGUGCACAGGUGCUGCAUGGCUGUCGUCAGCUCGUGUCGUGAGAUGUUGGGUUAAGUCCCGCAACGAGCGCAACCCUCAUCCUUAGUUGCCAGCAUUUAGUUGGGCACUCUAAGGAAACUGCCUGGGUCAACCAGGAGGAAGGUGGGGAUGACGUCAAGUCUUCAUGGCCCUUAUGGUCUGGGCUACACACGUGCUACAAUGGCAGUGACAAUGAGCAGCGACCCCGCGAGGGAUAGCUAAUCUCCAAACA